rnacentral:rRNA from 1 species
AGAUUGAACGCUGGCGGCAGGCCUAACGCAUGCAAGUCGAGCGCGAAAGUUUCUUCGGGAAUGAGUAGAGCGGCGGACGGGUGAGUAACGCGUGGGAAUUUGCCCAGUAGUGGGGGACAACUCGGGGGAAACUCGAGCUAAUACCGCAUACGCCCUAUGGGGGAAAGCAGGGGAUCUUCGGACCUUGCGCUAUUGGAUAAGCCCGCGUCGUAUCAGCGUAGUGGUAGGCCGGUAACGCCGACAAGGCUACGACGCGUAGCCGUACUAGAGGAGUUGGACCGUCCACG